rnacentral:misc_RNA from 1 species
GUAGGUGAACCUGCGGAAGGAUCAUUACAGAGUAUCAUGCCCUCACGGGUAGAUCUCCACCCUUGAAUAACAUACCUCUGUUGCUUUGGCAGGCCCCAUUUCCAGCGGCCUCGGCUGUUGAGUGCCCGCCAGAGGACCCCAACUCUAAAUUUUAUGUCGUCUGAGUACUAUAUAAUAGUUAAAACUUUCAACAACGGAUCUCUUGGUUCUG